rnacentral:rRNA from 1 species
AUGCUGCGGGAGCUCGGAGGUUUGGGUGUUUUGAAUAUCAAAUGGUUUGGGUUCGCGCUGCGCUGCAGAUGGCCUUGGUUAAGUUGGAGUGCAGAGGAGCGGCCGUGGCAUGGCCUGCCUGAUACUACGGAGAAGGAGUUCCACGCAAUCUUCAGUGCAGCCUGCCGCAUCACGUUCGGGUCAGGAGAGGUAGCCAAGUUCUGGACUGAUAAGUGGUUGGAUACCGGCUGCUCAAUUGCUCAAACAGCACCGCAACUCUACUCCUUUGUUAAGGACAGGGGGAGAUCUGUCAAGGAGGCGCUGACCGGACAUGCUUGGGUACAUGACAUUGCGGGUGGGCUCUCCCUCCCUGCCAUUGCUCAGUACCUCUCGGUCCGGGAUAUUGCACACGCCACUGUGUUAAAUCCUGAGGCGAGAGACACGCCGCUAUGGCUCCUGACGGAAAAUCAGCAGUUCUCUGUCCAAAGUGCAUACCGCUUGUUCUUUCUGGACACCUUUGCCUCCACUCGGGAGUGGUGGUUGCAGACUAGGGCUGUCAUUCCCAAGCAGAUCCGAAGGAAUUUUGACACGGUGGUGAUCUUGAUGCAUUGGAGGAUAUGGAAAGAAAGAAACUCCAAGAUCUUUGACCAGGUGGCAGCUUCGCCGUCCGGCGUUCUGGAGCGGGUAGUAGAAGAUGUGGCCAUGUGGAGGGCCGCCGGAUGCACCGUUGAUCUGCCAACUUAG